rnacentral:rRNA from 1 species
UGGGGAAUAUUGCACAAUGGGCGCAAGCCUGAUGCAGCCAUGCCGCGUGUAUGAAGAAGGCCUUCGGGUUGUAAAGUACUUUCAGCGGGGAGGAAGGUGUUGAGGUUAAUAACCUCAGCAAUUGACGUUACCCGCAGAAGAAGCACCGGCUAACUCCGUGCCAGCAGCCGCGGUAAUACGGAGGGUGCAAGCGUUAAUCGGAAUUACUGGGCAUAAAGCGCACGCAGGCGGUCUGUCAAGUCGGAUGUGAAAUCCCCGGGCUCAACCUGGGAACUGCAUUCGAAACUGGCAGGCUAGAGUCUUGUAGAGGGGGGUAGAAUUCCAGGUGUAGCGGUGAAAUGCGUAGAGAUCUGGAGGAAUACCGGUGGCGAAGGCGGCCCCCUGGACAAAGACUGACGCUCAGGUGCGAAAGCGUGGGGAGCAAACA